rnacentral:lncRNA from 1 species
AUGGCAACAAGUGGAGCUCCCAGUGAUCUUGGCUUCCAGCUCUGUCACAUAAGCCUCCAUCCUAGCUCUCCUGAACCUGCUACCUGUCUCACAACAACUGAAAAACAAAUUGGAGUUACCUACACAAGAGUAGGUGCUGAACAGAACACAAAUCUCAACACACUGCCUGUUAUUGAACCACCAUUUUCAUAUUCCUGUUUUCACAGUUUCUACCAUCAUGUUUUCUUCUUACAGUCUGUUUCCUGCCCUGAGAGAUCAAAUUAAGAAUUGCCAAGAGUGGAAUCUUGUGAAGAUUUCCUUUCUUAAAGCUGUUUAUACUUAUUUUACACUAGAAUGAAUGGAAAAGACAUGGUCAAUCAAAGCUUUUCUUGAAUUCUGGAAGGACAGAGUACCACUGCACAUGCACUGAAGUACUUUCCUCCAAGAAAUAGUGUGGUGUUCCUUUUUUUUAAUUAUUUAUUUUAUUUGGGA